AGCAUGCAAGUCAAACGAGAUGUAGUAAUACAUCUAGUGGCGAACGGGUGAGUAACGCGUGGAUGAUCUACCUAUGAGAUGGGGAUAACUAUUAGAAAUAGUAGCUAAUACCGAAUAAGGUCAAUUAAUUUGUUAAUUGAUGAAAGGAAGCCUUUAAAGCUUCGCUUGUAGAUGAGUCUGCGUCUUAUUAGUUAGUUGGUAGGGUAAAUGCCUACCAAGGCGAUGAUAAGUAACCGGCCUGAGAGGGUGAACGGUCACACUGGAACUGAGACACGGUCCAGACUCCUACGGGAGGCAGCAGCUAAGAAUCUUCCGCAAUGGGCGAAAGCCUGACGGAGCGACACUGCGUGAAUGAAGAAGGUCGAAAGAUUGUAAAAUUCUUUUAUAAAUGAGGAAUAAGCUUUGUAGGAAAUGACGAAGUGAUGACGUUAAUUUAUGAAUAAGCCCCGGCUAAUUACGUGCCAGCAGCCGCGGUAAUACG
rnacentral:rRNA from 1 species